UCCCAGACUCCUACGGGAGGCAGCAGUGGGGAAUAUUGCACAAUGGGGGAAACCCUGAUGCAGCGACGCCGCGUGGGUGAAGGAGCGUUUCGGCGCGUAAAGCCCUAUCGGCAGGGAAGAAGGAGGACGGUACCUGAAGAAGAAGCCCCGGCUAACUACGUGCCAGCAGCCGCGGUAAUACGUAGGGGGCAAGCGUUAUCCGGAUUUACUGGGUGUAAAGGGAGCGCAGGCGGCACGGCAAGUCUGGUGUGAAAGCCCGGGGCCCAACCCCGGGACUGCAUUGGAAACUGCCGGGCUGGAGUGCCGGAGGGGUAAGCGGAAUUCCUGGUGUAGCGGUGAAAUGCGCAGAUAUCAGGAGGAACACCGGCGGCGAAGGCGGCCUGCUGGACCGUAACUGACGUUGAGGCUCGAAAGCGUGGGGAGCAAACAGGAUUAGAUACCCCCGUAGG
rnacentral:rRNA from 1 species